CAGUAUGGGGACACUCCAUUUCACAAAUUGUUGCAAAGUGACCACGAAUACCAAGUUCACCAGGACGGAACCCAAACCUAGUUAGGCCUACAUGCUGUAGCUGUGGAGCUGACCUGAGUCCAUUGAACCAGUGUCUCAGGUUAAAUCUACCGAUCCAUCAAUAAGUGCGAAGUCGAUGUACAAUUAUUGUCAGAGCGGAACACGAUGUGUAUAAAAUUGCCGGAACUCAAGAUGCUAUCAAUAGCCGGAUUUAAUUCUACAAAAUAAUCGCGCGCGGAUAUUUAUUAGGAUAUAUCACUGGAUCGCCGGAAUUUAAUCAAAUUUGCCAAUUAUGUUUCUUAUACAACGAACAAGUAAUUCUCGAACGAUAUUACAUACUUAAAUAUAAUUAGGUCUAAGCAUUAUAUAUAUAUUAUAUUAUAUAAAACUAGAAUCUUUAUAUUCAAAUUAUUACGUUUAUAUAGUUCGGAUGUAACAUUUCCGAGUACGUAAGAAAUAAAAGUAAACUGUAUAUUUAUAA